CACAAAUUAAAAUUUAUAUUUCUUAAAGUACCAUCCACUCUAAUUUCUCUCCCCUUUCCUCUCAAGGCCCCACUCGCAUUUCAAACCAAAUACUAAGCUCUGUUCUCAAUAUCUAGAUUCUCUACCACCAAACUAACAUUCUAUUACCAAAAACUUAAUCUGUGUCUGAAUCUCUCUGCUCCUUCCUUUGAAUUCUCCGCUAAUUCAUUAUGGAAACAGUUACAGCACCAACCAAAAACCCCAAGAUGACAGACACUAAUAAUGUCGAAUUGAAUUCCAGCUUUCUCUUCCACAACGGCUUCAAUCCUUCUUUUCAAAUUUCUGAUAUAGAGAUGAUAGCCAUACAGCCCGUCACCUACACCAGCCUCAAGGACCUAUUGCCGGUCUCACCUCCUACGAUCUCCUCACCCACCCACAACUCCAGCUGGUACGAGAUCCCGAUCAAGAACCCGCUCGUUAAGCAGGCGGCUUUGGCUUACUUGCAACCGAUGUCGAGCCCGCCUGAGAUUGGAGAUAAAGGGUUUUUCGGGAGAUUGAGAGAUAUGUGUUGUGGCGAAUAUGGGUGCUUUGGGUGGAUAAACGACGUCGUGUUCAAGUGUUUGAGAGAAUCGUGUUGGGAGAGAACCGAUGAAAUUGAGGAUGAAGAUGAUGACGAUGAUGACGAGGAUGAGGAAGAGGAAGUAGACAAUGAUGAGGCAGAAUUUGCAGAGCCAGAGAGUACAGGAAGGUUAACAAGCACGGAAGGGGAGAUUGAUGGCCAUGAUCAAGGAGAGGAUGAUGUAGAAGAGGAUGAUAAUGGGGAGACUGGAGAAGAAGAACAGGGUGUUGAUGAUGAUGAUGGAGAAUUUGAAGAUGAAGAAGAGGGUGAGGAAGAGGUGAGAUACUCUAGGAUGUAAUUUAGUCCUUCAUUUUAGUUUUUUUUUUUGCUGUACAUGUGCUGUUCAGUUGAAUUGACUGAUUGAUAGGUAUUCUUCCUCAGAAUCUGGAAGGAGGGGACCUGCAUAGCUGCCGUUACUGACACAACCUCAUCUUACUUAUUGCUGACUUGAUAUCUUGCAUUUUUUUUUUUGUGAAUUUUUACUGAUAUUGCUGGCUGGUUUUUGCAUUUUCUUUUGUAUGAAUUUCUACUCGUGUGUAGUCCUUUUAUAGUGUAGACAUUCUUUGUGCCAUAUUGUUAGUAAACAUGAAAUCAUUGUUUUUACUGGGAUUACCCAAGAGGCCAAGACGUAGUUAUUGUGGUAAAUGGUCACUGAAAAAAAAGGAAUUGUAACCUGCAGUUUUGAUGCAAAAACAGUCAUGGCCAUCUAGCAUGUGUAGGAGGAUAAGAUAUUACUUUUUGGAUACAAUGCUUUCAUUUUUUUUCCCCUCAGAACACUACUGUGCUGUUGAGAAUGAUGUGGAAAUUGGGGGAAAAAGGAAAGGAAAAUGCCAUAGUUCCUUGGUAACCAUGAUGUAGUAAGUAAAAUCUUGGAAAGCUAGUAUGUAAUCUGCCGUAAUGUAUCAACUUUCUUAUAUUUAUUAUUUUCUAAUUUGUGGUCGUAGCAAUGAUAAGCUAGACAAUAAAUGUGCUGUUUGAUUCUAGUACAUUUGCACUUUUUAUGCACAUAUGGUGCAAUUUUACCUUUAGUGCGCACUACAAGUGUAGCAAAUUUAUCUUCCAACUAUUUCAAGAAC
rnacentral:misc_RNA from 1 species